GAUGAACGCUGGCGGCGUGCUUAACACAUGCAAGUCGAACGGAAAGGCUCCUGCUUGCAGGGGUACUCGAGUGGCGAACGGGUGAGUAACACGUGGGUGAUCUGCCCUGCACUUCGGGAUAAGCCUGGGAAACUGGGUCUAAUACCGGAUAGGACGAUGGUUUGGAUGCCAUUGUGGAAAGUUUUUUCGGUGUGGGAUGAGCUCGCGGCCUAUCAGCUUGUUGGUGGGGUAAUGGCCUACCAAGGCGUCGACGGGUAGCCGGCCUGAGAGGGUGUACGGCCACAUUGGGACUGAGAUACUGCCCAGACUCCUACGGGAGGCAGCAGUGGGGAAUAUUGCACAAUGGGCGCAAGCCUGAUGCAGCGACGCCGCGUGGGGGAUGACGGCCUUCGGGUUGUAAACUCCUUUCGCUAGGGACGAAGCGCAAGUGACGGUACCUGGAGAAGAAGCACCGGCUAACUACGUG
rnacentral:rRNA from 1 species